AGUGAACGCUGGCGGUAGGCCUAACACAUGCAAGUCGAACGGCAGCACAGUAAGAGCUUGCUCUUACGGGUGGCGAGUGGCGGACGGGUGAGGAAUACAUCGGAAUCUACUUUUUCGUGGGGGAUAACGUAGGGAAACUUACGCUAAUACCGCAUACGACCUACGGGUGAAAACAGGGGAUCUUCGGACCUUGCGCGAUUGAAUGAGCCGAUGUCGGAUUAGCUAGUUGGCGGGGUAAAGGCCCACCAAGGCGACGAUCCGUAGCUGGUCUGAGAGGAUGGUCAGCCACACUGGAACUGAGACACGGUCCAGACUCCUACGGGAGGCAGCAGUGGGGAAUAUUGGACAAUGGGCGCAAGCCUGAUCCAGCCAUACCGCGUGGGUGAAGAAGGCCUUCGGGUUGUAAAGCCCUUUUGUUGGGAAAGAAAAGCAGCAGGUUAAUACCCCGCUGUUCUGACGGUACCCAAAGAAUAAGCACCGGCUAACUUCGUG
rnacentral:rRNA from 1 species